GUCUACAGCCAUACCACCCUGAACGCGCCUGAUCUCGGAAGUGAACCAGUGAAUGGAAGAUCUGGCUGAUGGCU
rnacentral:rRNA from 1 species